UAACACGUAGGGAACCUGCCCGUGCACCGGGAAUACGCUCUGGAAACGGAGAACAAAUCCCGAUGUACAGGAAGGAGGCAUCUUCUUUCUGUGAAACAUCCUUUAGGGGAUGGGGCGCGGAUGGACCUGCGGUGCAUUAGUUGGUUGGCGGGGUAAAGGCCCACCAAGACGAUGAUGCAUAGCCGGCCUGAGAGGGCGGACGGCCACAUUGGGACUGAGACACGGCCCAGACUCCUGCGGGAGGCAGCAGUAGGGAAUUUUCGUCAAUGGGCGCAAGCCUGAACGAGCGAUGCCGCGUGAGUGAAGAAGGCCUUCGGGUCGUAAAGCUCUGUUGCGGGGGAAAAAAGGCAGCAUCAGGAAAUGGGUGCUGACUGAUGGUGCCCCGCCAGAAAGUCACGGCUAACUACGUGCCAGCAGCCGCGGUAAUACGUAGGUGGCGAGCGUUAUCCGGAAUGAUUGGGCGUAAAGGGUGCGCAGGCGGUCCUGCAAGUCUGGAGUGAAACGCAUGAGCUCAACUCAUGCAUGGCUUUGGAAACUGGAGGACUGGAGAGCAGGAGAGGGCGGUGGAACUCCAUGUGUAGCGGUAAAAUGCGUAGAUAUAUGGAAGAACACCAGUGGCGAAGGCGGCCGCCUGGCCUGUUGCUGACGCUGAGGCACGAAAGCGUGGGGGAGCAAAUAGGAUUAGAUACCCUAGUAGUCCACGCCGUAAACGAUGAGGACCAAGUGU
rnacentral:rRNA from 1 species